CAGUAGCCGCGGUAAUACGAAGGGUGCAAGCGUUACUCGGAAUUACUGGGCGUAAAGCGUGUGUAGGUGGUUGUUUAAGUCUGUCGUGAAAGCCCUGGGCUCAACCUGGGAAUUGCGAUGGAUACUGGGCGACUAGAGUGCGGUAGAGGAUAGUGGAAUUUCCGGUGUAGCAGUGAAAUGCGUAGAGAUCGGAAGGAACAUCUGUGGCGAAGGCGACUAUCUGGGCCAACACUGACACUGAGACACGAAAGCGUGGGGGGCAAACAGGAUUAGAUACCCGUGUAGUCCCUGUCUCUUAUAC
rnacentral:rRNA from 1 species